GGAGGCAUGGCUCAGUAAUAGAGUAACCACCUUAUACAUGCAAGCCCUGAGUUCAAGCCUCAGUUCUGCCA
rnacentral:tRNA from 1 species